AACGAACGCUGGCGGCAUGCCUAACACAUGCAAGUCGAACGAGACCUUCGGGUCUAGUGGCGCACGGGUGCGUAACGCGUCGGAACCUGCCCUUAGGUUCGGAAUAACUCCCCGAAAGGGGUGCUAAUACCGGAUAAUGUCUUCGGACCAAAGAUUUAUCGCCUUUGGAUGGGCCCGCGUUGGAUUAGCUAGUUGGUAGGGUAAAAGCCUACCAAGGCGACGAUCCAUAGCUGGUCUGAGAGGAUGAUCAGCCACACUGGGACUGAGACACGGCCCAGACUCCUACGGGAGGCAGCAGUGGGGAAUAUUGGACAAGGGGCGAAAGCCUGAUCCAGCAAUGCCGCGUGAGUGAUGAAGGCCUUAGGGUUGUAAAGCUCUUUUACCCGGGAUGAUAAUGACAGUACCGGGAGAAUAAGCUCCGGCUAACUCCGUG
rnacentral:rRNA from 1 species